rnacentral:ncRNA from 1 species
GAAGAAGCGUUGAAAGGAUAAAGUAGUCUAACUAUCCAUGUUUUAGAGAGUCGACGGUUGCUGAAAGUCGAUACAAAUAGUUAUGAUGAAUUACAUCCUGGAGCAUUUACUGUGAAAUGAACUAGUAGCAGUAGACGGUAGAUACCGUUAUAUUUUUGAGUGGAGAACAAAUCUGUUUCUCAAGUUGGGUGGUACCGCGAGCAUUAUCGUCCCUUCG